rnacentral:rRNA from 1 species
CCUACGGGAGGCAGCAGUGAGGAAUAUUGGUCAAUGGACGAGAGUCUGAACCAGCCAAGUAGCGUGAAGGAUGACUGCCCUAUGGGUUGUAAACUUCUUUUAUAUGGGAAUAAAACGUUCCACGUGUGGGAUUUUGUAUGUACCAUAUGAAUAAGGAUCGGCUAACUCCGUGCCAGCAGCCGCGGUAAUACGGAGGGUCCGAGCGUUAUCCGGAUUUAUUGGGGUUAAAGGGAGCGUAGGUGGAUUGUUAAGUCAGUUGUGAAAGUUUGCGGCUCAACCGUAAAAUUGCAGUUGAAACUGGCAGUCUUGAGUACAGUAGAGGUGGGCGGAAUUCGUGGUGUAGCGGUGAAAUGCUUAGAUAUCACGAAGAACUCCGAUUGCGAAGGCAGUUCACUGGACUGCAACUGACACUGAGGCUCGAAAGUGUGGGUAUCAAACAGGAUUAGAUACCCCAGUAGUC